AAGAGGCACUCAAGCAAGAAAUUCAAAUGUUCCUAGAAACAAAUGAGCUAUUGAGCUUGCUAUAGCAAGAAAGUAUAACCUAUUCUGGUAUUCUUUCCUCUGAGACAUGCUGUUAUAUAGACUUAAACAUU
ensembl:snoRNA